AGUGAACGCUGGCGGUAGGCCUAACACAUGCAAGUCGAACGGCAGCACAGUAAGAGCUUGCUCUUACGGGUGGCGAGUGGCGGACGGGUGAUGAGUACAUCGGAAUCUACUUUUUCGCGGGGGAUAACGUAGGGAAACUUACGCCAAUACCGCAUACGACCUACGGGGGAAAGCAUGGGAUCUUCGGACCUUGCGCGAUUGAAUGAGCCGAUGUCGGAUUAGCUAGUUGGCGGGGUAAAGGCCCACCAAGGCGACGAUCCGUAGCUGGUCUGAGAGGAUGAUCAGCCACACUGGAACUGAGACACGGUCCAGACUCCUACGGGAGGCAGCAGUGGGGAAUAUUGGACAAUGGGCGCAAGCCUGAUCCAGCCAUACCGCGUGGGUGAAGAAGGCCUUCGGGUUGUAAAGCACUUUUGGUGGGAAAGAAGAGCAGCAGGUUAAUACCCCGCUGUUCUGACGGUACCCAAAGAAUAAGCACCGGCUAACUUCGUG
rnacentral:rRNA from 1 species